AAAUACAUUUAUAUUAUUAUUAUUUUAUAAAACAUUAAAAAAUUUACGUGACUUCUUUUAUGAAUUUAUUUCUCAGAGAUUAUGGAAAAUUUAUUACGAGGAAAACUAAUUAGUGUCUUUCCAACAAUGGAUUCUCAAGAAGUUACUAAAGUCAUCAAUGGUUUAUUGUUACUAGGCCUUGAGACGGAAGGGGAUUUAAAAUAUUUAAAAGAGCAAGACCUAAUAGCAUUGCUUCCUCCAAUUAAGUCUAGACGUUUUUUGUCUGUUUGUCAACCAGUUGAACUAUUACUAACAAAUGCUUCUUUAAGUUUGAUCUCUCCAGAACCCUUUAAUUCAAGUAUUAUUACAUCUUCAGAUUGGGCCCAAUCGUUUAUUGUAAACUGGGAAAAGUUUCCAUUAGAUUUUUUGAAAGAUUUAAACAAUAAGCAAAAGCCUACUGAGUCAAAUAUCCGACAAAUGGUUGGAUUAUUAAUGAGUGAUGUAUUUUUGUUUGAUCGUAAGCCAAGUCGACAAAAUUUGCGUAUUAUAGCUCAAAAGGUUGUUUCAAGAUUUCCUGAUUCGUUUGUAGAUGAAAUAAAUGGAAAAGUAAUAUCCAAUGGAGUUGAAACAUUAUUGUUUAGGAUGGAAUCCAGAAAAGAAAAUGCAAAUUGGAAUGUUUCACCUGUUAUAUUAACAAAAGAAUUACACCUGUUAUAUUAACAAAAGAAUUUUUGUUAAUAUAACAGGUGUACUAGAAAUUUAUUAUAUCGAUUUAUAAUCAAUUUUACUUUAGAGAUUUGAUUUUUAUUUUUUUUUGUAAGAGGAACAGCUUAAACAAAUCUAUAGAAUUCUGCCUUGGAAUACAAAUGAUGUUAAAAAAUUUAUGGCGGAUACUUAUUCACUACAGCGUCAAACAAUAAAUGCUGUCAUUCCUUUUGCAGAAGUAUUGAUUGAAAGGCCGUUUCUAUCUCAAAUAGAAUACCUUCAGGACCAUUUUUCCACUCUGAUGAAUUUUUCAUUAAUGGAAAGGUUAAAUAGUACAAUCAGCACCAAAUCAAGUCUUAUUCACAAUUUUUUUCAAUUAAAUGUAGCAAAGAUUUAGUUAAGCAAGUUCUGCUUGAAGCAACAGUCAUAUGCAUGGAAAAUGGGGGAAAUGCACGAGCUGUUUGUUUGGCGUGGCUACCUCUGCUUAUAGCUUAUUUUGGCGAUAAAACUGAUCAUUUGAUACAAUCAGUAAAUCGUUUAGCAUCAAUUCAAGAAAUUGAAGAAAAUUGUCAAACAUCACAUUCUAUAAUUGUUUUAAAAGGAACUUGGUUUGAUUCAGAAGAUUUUUAAUUUUUGGUGGAAAAGAAAGUGUGCUAUACCUUCACUGAUGCUUUGCCAGCCAUUGGGGCAAUGUUUGCUGUUCAUUAUGUAAUGAAUAUGCAAUAUCAUCCAAAUGUUUUUGCUUCAUUAGAGUUUAUUCAAAGAUACAUGGUCGACUACAAUCCUGAUAAAGGGAAAAGAAAUGCUAAAGGAAAGAAAAAAGGAGCACUCAUUUGCCCACGCAUUGUCACGUUAAUUCGAGAAUUAAAUAGUUUUGA
rnacentral:misc_RNA from 1 species